UACAGAGGGUGCAAACGUUGUUCGGAAUUACUGGGCGUAAAGCGUGUGUAGGCGGCCUCGUAGGUCGGAUGUGAAAGCUCUCGGCUCAACCGGGAAAGUGCAUUCGAAACCACAAGGCUUGAGUGUCGGAGAGGAAGGCGGAAUUGUCGGUGUAGAGGUGAAAUUCGUAGAUAUCGACAGGAACACCUGUGGCGAAAGCGGCCUUCUGGACGAACACUGACGCUGAGACGACGAAAAGCUCGAAGGGGCC
rnacentral:rRNA from 1 species